CAGAUCCACCCAGACCCAGGACGGAGAUUGAGUUCUCACAAGGGCCCGAGUUGAGACUGCAAUGACAGCGUUGAUGAUCCCGACAGUAUAAUACGUUUUUCCCCAGGGGGUCCUCACAUCGAUUGUUCAUGCAGUAUCCUAACAAUUUAAAUUUUGUGUUUCUUCUAAAAUUUGGGCUAGUCUUGUAAGUGUCCGCUUUUGACUUUAAGGAUAAAUUGAUAAUGCUGAGAUUUGGAAGUAAUCCCUACACAAGUCUUUUGGCUUCAAACCCUUGAUUGUUUAAAUGAGGAGACUCAAGUAGCUUUCCCAAGGCCAUUGCGGUGGGAGAUCUCAAACUUCAACCCAGGUCAGACACCAGAGGUCCAUUGGGAGAGUCCAUCAUGGCUCAUUAGUAUACACAGAAGAAUGGCAGACUGGUAUUUCCAGCUGCGUUGGCACUGCACAAAGCCCCCACCUGCCACCUCCUCCAAGGCCCUCCCCUAUGGGGUCCUGGCUGCCUCUCCAGCUUGAGCUUACUACACUCCAGGCACACUGCCCAUCUUUCUGCCAAGCACUUUUUGCCACAGGGCCUUUGCACUUGCUGUUGUCUCCUGACUUAGCUAGAUUAGCUUUUCUUCAGACUCACAUGGCUUAGCUCAUGUGUCACUCUAGGGAGACAUUUCUGACAGCAUAGCUCAAGUAUGGCCCCUCCCACCUGACUAUCACCCUGUUAUUUCCUGCAGAGCAUGAGCAGGGUUUGAAAUCAUCUUGUUUAUUUACUUGUUAUGGUCUGUUCCCCUUCAGCUGCCCUUCGCCAUUAGGAUGUGAGCACAUCUCUAGGACAUAAGACAAAUCAUGAAAAUAAUACCAUUUUCAAAGGAGACGAGGACUCAGAGGUCAUAGGAUUCAAGUCUUCAUUGGACAGACUUGGAAAUUGACACCCACAGAGGUCAACCCAGAGUCCCAUAAAACAAAGUUGCUAAACUGGAAGGGAUUGGGGAUGGAAGAACAGACAGUCCACCAGGAGCAAGUUCCAUAAGGAACGUGUGACAGGACGUGUCGUUUCCGAAAUUCAGCUGCUGCUGGAGUUGAAGAGAAGCCCAUCUUGGAAGAGAAAUAUGUAGCCAACUUUGUGGGCCUUUGGAAAACCUGAGACCCUUGAUCUUGUAACCUUGGAAGCAGGAUUGGAUCCAGUAAAACUGAGAUCAAAUGCUGGUGAACUUUUCCAAAGUCAGCAGGAGAAAAGAAAUUUGUCGAGUCAUAUAUUUUAACCCUUAAACAGAACAUAAAGAUAUUAAGAUACUCUAAGCAUAAUCAAGCUAGAGCUAAUCCGGGUCAUUGCUUAAAUCCAUGCUUCCCAAACUUUAAUAUGCACCCCAUCCCUUGGGGCUCAUGUUAAAGUGCAGAUUCUAACAUAGUAGGUCUGGGGAGUGGGGGUUAGGGCUGAGCUUCCACAUUAGUGAUCCAUUCCUGGUUCAGGCAUCACACUUUGGGCAGCAAGAGCUCAGGAGGUGGGCUGGAGAGAAGGAGGUGUCCUCAACUGAAGCUAAGAGGAACCCAAGCACUUUGAGCUAAUAGCGGACUCCCCAUUCUGCUCCUCUUCCCUAAGCCCGGUCUCCCAGCUGCCCCAGUGGUCACCUUCGCUGUCCUGUGAUGUUUCCUUCCCUUCUAGAGCUUCUAAUGCUUUCUCAAGAAGGGGAGAGCAAGUCUGGCUCACUCAAGGAGACUGAUCUGAAGGAUAUUUGGCAGUUCACAGAAUCGAAGAGCUGACCCACCAGUCUUGGGAUAGAUGGGAACCAAGGCGGUUCAGGAGCCUGAGCAGCGUGAGCUCCAGGCCCUCCCCGGCACAUCCCAUAAGAUGCCUGAAUUCUGUCUCCUCAAGCUUCAAGUUUGGGUCAGGUGUUUUUACCUUCAGAGUUCUCAGCAUAUGCCAGUUGAAUUUGUGUCUGCUAUCCCUUUCUUUGUCCCUUGUAAGACUAUCCUCGAUCAUUUUAACUUGUUUUUACAUGUAUACAAAUGGCGUGUGUGUGUGUGUGUGUGUGUAUGUCUGUCUGUCUGUCCGGGGCAAAGGAGAUGUUAAUGCUGCAAUAUGAUUUCUCCCCAAAUAAAUUAUCAAAAAAUCCCCCAUAUGUCAAACUUAGGACUUUUAAAAUACAUGAUCUUACAUUGUUUGGAUUACAUAUGUGUUGGAUAUAUAACUAAAAUGUUCUCUGUGAGC